rnacentral:rRNA from 1 species
UACGGAGGUUGCAAGCGUUGUUCGGAAUGACUGGGCGUAAAGGGAGCGCAGCCGGCUCGAUUAGUCUGGAGUGAAAGCCCGGGGCUUAACCCCGGAGGGUCUUCGGAUACUGUCGAGCUCGAGUACGGAAGAGGAGAGUGGAAUUCCAGGUGUAGCGGUGAAAUGCGUAGAUAUCUGGAGGAACACCGGUGGCGAAAGCGGCUCUCUGGUCCGAUACUGACGGUCAUGCUCGAAAGCGUGGGGAGCAAACGGG